CACUCAGCUACACAGCAAGCCUCAGAGAAAGAAGUAAGGUAUACAGAAAUAGAGAAAGAUAAAAGCUCAGAGGCAAAAGAUAGAUAGGAUAAUUUAAGAAAAGCUGGCUUGAAACAAGCCAAGCCAAGGCUGGCCAUUCAUAAGUAAUACUAAGCCUCCCACUGUGAUUUAUUUGGGAGCUGCGUGGCGGGCCCCCCAAAAGAGGACAGAUCCAAGCGAGUGGACAACAACCGCAGCACCAGACCGCAGGGUCUCCACAGCAGAGGCAGCUUCAUCGGUUAUGGGGUGGUUCACAAAUGAUUAAUCCGGAAGCUGAAAGUUCAGGAGUCUGCCAUAGCCAGCAAGAACCUUCACCUGGCGAUGGAUGGAGAAAAUGACAGAGCCCCACAUUGGAGCACGGACUG